GCACAAGCCCAGAACAAGGUCACCACCAGCAAGUGGGCACCCCAUCCUCAGCACCCUCACAGGAUUCUCAAGACCACAGGGAUGUGGCUUUCAAACUGUGCUCUACAAAGCCCUAGCAGGGGCCAAAGGGAGGAGAAGCGGCGCUCCCACUCCAUUUCAAGCUCUACUUGUAGAGUUUACCUAUUGGACCACCUGUGGUUCUCAUCCCUGGCUGCUCAAUGGAAUCACCUAACAAGUUUUUUUUAAAUGUUGAUGCUUUGGUCACACCUUAGAUGAACUGAAUCCAAUUCUCUGCCAGCUGAGAUUGAGCAUAAAUAUUUCGAACACUGAGAACUUCUCUAGCUAAUGGGUUCUUCAGCUGAAAAAAGAAAGUUUGAAAACCAUCUUCUUAUGGCACCACAGUGACAUUUCAGACACUGAGGGUCCCACUAUGGUGCUGGGGAUACAAACAUAAACAAGUCUCUUUUCUAUCCUAUUAUAACUUCUGUAUCUAUUUUACUUUCAGUGGAUAAACUCAAGAGACCAGGACCUGUGUAUGAGUUAAUUUCCCCCACGACUAGCCAUGUACUCAGCACAAAGGUAUUCAGUAGGUAAACUCAGAAAAUUUCUGCAAGGUACUGCACAGUACCCUCAGGAAAUCUCAGGGACACUGCAAUAAAGAACCACACAGAACAUGCAAAUUAUUUUCAAGAACUGCAAGGAUGCUGCAUAUAAGAUCAAGUACCCAAAAAGUAGGGGCUCCUACGCACCAACAAUAACCAAUUAGCAAAUGUAUCAGCAACAUUAUCCCAUUCACAGUAGCAAUAGACAUUGAGUUUCACAGAAAAGUUUCCCAAGUAAACUUAACUCUGUUCAAAUCUAUAAGAAAAACAAAAACAACCUAUCAGGACUUCCCUGGUGGCGCAGUGGUUGAGAGUCCGCCUGCCGAUGCAGGGGACACGGGUUCAUGCCCCGGUCCGGGAAGAUCCCACAUGCCGCAGAGCGGCUGGGCCCGUGAGCCAUGGCCGCUGAGCCUGUGCGUCCGGAGCCUGUGCUCCGCAACGGGAGAGGCCACAACAGUGAGAGGGCCGCAUACCGCAAAAAAACAAAAAAACAAAAAACAAAAAAAAACCUAUCAAACUGGGCAGAUGAUACAAACUGGAAAUCCAGGAGAUACAAAUGGCUGAAACAGCUUUAAGAGUCCUAGCUAAGAGUCAAAGACAUACAUAUUUUCAUCUACUGGAUGGGAAGAAAAGGCAAAGGCUGAUAAUAUCCAAAGUGUCAAAAACAGAUCAAGAUGGUGGAGUAGGAUGGGGGACUCACCUCCCCCAGUGAACACAGCACAAAUACAUCUACAUGUGGAACAAUGCUCACUGAAAACUAACUGGAGACAGGCAGAAAGACUCCUGUGCAACCAAGGCUGUAAGAAAGAUGCACAAAGAAUCAGGCAGGAAGAGACAGAGAAAGUUAAAAUGAGAAGACAGAGGAGUUUGUUUCAAUUGGAAGAGCAAGCGAAAACCUCUGAAAAAAACAACUAAUGAAACAGAAAUAAACAAUUUACCAGAUAAAGAGUUCAAAGCAUUAGUAAUAAGAAUGCUAACUGAAUUAGCAAAAAGAAUACAUAAACACAGUGGGAAUUUUAUAGAACUAGAAAAUAUAAAAAAGAACCAGUCAGUACUGAAGAAAGCAAUAACAGAAAUGAAUAACACACUAGAAGGAAUUAACAGCAGAUUAGGUGAAACAGAAGAAUGUGAAAGUGAUCUGCAAGAGAGAAUAAUGGAAAUCACCCAAUCAGAACAGCAAAAAAAAAAAAAAAACAGUAAAAAAUGAGAACAGUUUAAGGCAUCUCUGAGACAGUAUCAAUCAUACCGACAUUCACGUUACAGGGGUCGCUGAAGAAGAGAGAAAGAAAAAGGUCAAAAAGGUAUUUGAUGAAAUUAUGUAUGAAAACUUUCCAAACCUGAAGAAGGAAACAGAUAUCCAGAUAUAGGAAGCCCAGAGGGUCCCAAACAAGAUGAACCCAAACAAACCCACACCAAAACAUAUCAUGAUUAAAAUGGCAAAAGUUAAAGAGAAAAUUCUAAAGGCAACAGAGAAAAAUAAAGAGUCAUAUACAA